rnacentral:misc_RNA from 1 species
GCCGCUGUGACCUUGGCUGGU